rnacentral:lncRNA from 1 species
UGGACUUGUGAGGUGCCCUCUUUGCUUGAGAGGCCACUCUGUCCAUACACCCUGGGGUGUGGUAACUGAGGGGUGUCCCCAGUCAUGUUGGGAGGAAAGCAGACAGACCACAGAGUUCUGUACUGGACACAGUCUGUACAGUGCCUGACUCACAGCACUGGAGGAUUGUCCAUCCUUGUUCCCAGAGAGGGGCUAGGCCAGCCAAACCCCUCACUUCAUACUCUGACAAUGGAUCGAAGGGGCCUGGAGCAAACUGCAAUACCCCUGUCCGUGGACAUCUCCAUGUUCUGUGAGGAACCCGGUAUGAACAUGGAUGUCACAGUGAGCUCCAGGCCUUCGACUUUUGGCUGGGUCCUCCAGCGCUUCAGCAUGCACACAGACCUUUCCCAUUCUUCCACCGCUGACUCUACAGGUGGCCAUUAGCCCUGAUAGCAUCUCAAAUGGAACCAACAUUUUCCAGGAGUGUUUUCCCUUGUUUUGAUGAGCCAGCUCUUAAGGCAACUUUUAAUAUUACAAUUAUCCACCAUCCAAGUUAUGUGGCCCUUUCCAACAUGCCACAGCUAGGUCAGUCAGAAAGAGAUGUAAAUGGAAGCAAAUGGACAGUUACUACCUUCUACACCACACCCUCCAUGCCAACUUACUUAGUUGCACUUGCCAUAUGUGACUAUGACCAAGUCAACAGAACGGAAAGGGGCAAGGAGAAUGAGAUCUUUUUUUCUAACUUUUUACAUGGUGUCCUCAGCGAAGAUCAUGCCCUGGUGUCUAGAGCUGUGUCCAUGAAGGUGGAAAAUUUCACAAAAACAAGUGAAAUACAUGAACUCUUUGACUUAUUUACUUACAACAAGGGAGCAUCUAUGGCCCGCAUGCUUUCCAGUUUCCUGAAUGAACAUGUGUUCAUCGGUGCACUUAAGUCUUAUUUGAAGGCGUUUUCUUACUCAAAUGCCGAGCAAGAUGAUCUAUGGAGGCAUUUUCAAAUGGCUAUAGAUGACCAGAGUAAAAUUCUUUUGCCAGCAACAGUAAAAAGCAUAAUGGACAGUUGGACACACCGGAGUGGUUUUCCAGUCAUCACUUUAAAUGUGUCCAGUGGUGUCAUGAAUCAGGAGCCAUUUUAUCUGGGAAAAGUUGAAAAUCAGACCCUUCUGACCCACAAUGGCACAUGGACUGUCCCCAUUCUUUGGAUGAAAAAUGGAAUGACACAGUCCUUAGUCUGGCUAAAUAAAAGCAGUGAAGUAUUCCCUGAAAUGCAAGUUUCAGAUUCUAAUAAUGACUGGGUGAUUUUAAAUUUGAAUAUGACUGGAUAUUAUAGAGUUAAUUAUGAUAAAUUAGGUUGGAAAAAAUUAAAUCAACAGCUUGAAAAGGAUCCUAAGGCUAUUCCUGUUAUUCACAGAUUACAGUUGAUUGAUGAUGCCUUUUCCUUAUCUAAAAACAAUUAUAUUGAGAUUGAAACAGCACUUGAUUUAACCAAAUACCUUGCUGAAGAAGAUGAAAUCAUAGUAUGGUAUGAAGUCUUGGCAAACUUGAUAACCACGGAUCUUGUUUCUGAUGUGAGCAAGUAUGAUAUAUAUCCAUUAUUAAAGAAAUAUCUAUUAAAGAGACUAAAGUCAAUAUGGAAUAUUUAUGCAACUAUAAUUCGUGAAAACGUGGCAGCAUUGCAAGAUGACUAUCUAGCUCUAAUAUCACUGGAAAAACUUUUCACAACUGCAUGUGGGUUCGAUUUUGAAGACUGUCUUCAGCUGUCAAGAGAACUCUUCAGAAAAUGGAUGAGCCAUCCAGAGAAUAAAAUACCUAAUCCGAUUAAAAGUGUGAUUUUAUGCUAUGGCAUUGCCUUGGGAAGUGAUAAAGAAUGGGAUUUUCUGUUAAACGUCUACACUAACACAACAGAAGAAGAGGAAAGAAUUCAACUUGCUUAUGCAAUGUGCUGCAGUAAAGACCCAUGGAUACUUAACAGAUAUAUGCAGUAUGCCAUCACUGCAUCUCCAUUCACUUUUAAUGAAACAAAUGUAAUAGAAGCUGUGGCAGCAUCUGAAGUUGGCCGAUAUGUCGCAAAGGACUUUUUAGUCGACAAUUGGCAAACUGUGAGUGAAAGGUAUGGGACACAAUCACUGGUUACUCUAAUGUAUACAAUAGGGAGAACCAUAAGUACAGAUCUACAAAUCAUGGAGCUGCAGCAGUUUUUCAGUAACAUGUUGGAGGAGCACCAGAGGAUUACAGUUCAUGCCCAAUUACAGACAAUAAAGAAUGAAAAUCUCAAAACCAAAAAGCGAAGUGCCAGGAUAGCUGAGUGGCUCCGGAAAAAUAUAUAG